rnacentral:rRNA from 1 species
UACAGAGGGUGCGAGCGUUGUUCGGAAUUAUUGGGCGUAAAGGGCGCGUAGGCGGUGCCACAAGUCACCUGUGAAAUCCCCGGGCUUAACUCGGGGCCUGCAGGCGAAACUGUGGUGCUGGAGUAUGGGAGAGGUGCGUGGAAUUCCCGGUGUAGCGGUGAAAUGCGUAGAUAUCAGGAGGAACACCGGUGGCGAAGGCGGCUACCUGGACAGAAACUGACGCUGAGGCACGAAAGCUAGGGGAGCAAACAGG